rnacentral:rRNA from 1 species
CACGUAGGGGGCAAGCGUUGUCCGGAUUUACUGGGCGUAAAGCGUGCGCAGGCGGCUUUGCAAGACAGAUGUGAAAUCCCCGGGCUUAACCUGGGAACUGCAUUUGUGACUGCAUGGCUGGAGUGCGGCAGAGGGGGAUGGAAUUCCGCGUGUAGCAGUGAAAUGCGUAGAUAUGCGGAGGAACACCGAUGGCGAAGGCAAUCCCCUGGGCCUGCACUGACGCUCAUGCACGAAAGCGUGGGGAGCAAACAGG